GCCUGAAAGAGGAAGAAUAGAUGGUCUUAGAGUAGUGGGAAUGGGAACAUGGGGGAAACCCUAACUUCAUCGUUUUCACCUCUAGUAUCAAAGUUAGAAUUGAGGAUGGUGUUUCCCGAUGCCUCUCGUUCCUAUUAUUCUAAAGCACUCGUCCAUCUUUCUUUCGUGG
rnacentral:pre_miRNA from 1 species